GGCUAAAAUUCUGGUGCCAGUUAUCAACUUUUCAGAAAGGCUCCCAGGGUUUAUGAGGACCAAUCUUAGCACCCUGAACUACUUGAUUAAGGAAACCGGGAAACAGGUCCCUAGACUGGAAAAGAAACUCUUCGCAACUGACCCAGAUGGAACACAUUGGACAUACCCCACGGGGAAACACAUGUGGAAUCAUUGGAAAAGUUUUUUAGGGUAAGUAACCCUGAGUUUCACAAUCAUGAUAUAGAAGGGCAAAUUGUAGUUAACCUUUCUACCAUUUUCGCACCUAGCCGAGAACAACUACAACUCUUAGACAAGGGCCUUACAUUUGUUCCAAGUAGAGAUGCUGGAGGACGCACUCGCGCUCCACUAAUGGCAGAUCUUACAGAAUACCAUAGAAGACUAAAAUUGGCGAGUUAGAAUAACAGUCACGCCUAAAACAAAACACUGACAACAUCGAAUCGUAACAUUUCCCCCCACCCAAAAAUCAAACAUUUACCCCCAAGUGAAAUGUUUGAUUCACACAGACGAAGGCCGGACGGGCCCCAUGGACCCUCCAGCGAAGACAGACAGAAGGCUGAAGCGGUCCCUCCCUCGGACCCCCCAGCGAAGACAGACGAAGGCUGAAGCGGUCCCUCGGACCCUCCAGCGGAGACGAAAGGCUGAAGCGGUCCCUCAGACCCUCCAGCGGUCCCUCGGACCCUCCAGCGAAUGGACGAGCCCCCACUUAUGUUACACCCCAGCCCAGGGAAAACUGGCGUGCAACAUAAGGAAAAUAAAAAUAAGGAAAAAUGCCCCCCCACUCCCUGCUCUUAAGGAGGACGAACAAACAAAAAACAGCUACCACGGAUUUCACAACAGCCAGUCAGUUUAUUGAGUCCCAAAAGGUAGCAGGCAUCAGGGUGAGCAUGGCCAAAACAACAAACAAAAACUCUAGAAAUGAAAUGCAGCUGGCUUACCUUCACAGAAAACCCCAAACAAAAAUUACAGGUGUCUUACCUGCCUCCCUAACCAAAAACAGGAGAAAAGGUUCCCAAAGAAAAAUGGCUUCUCACCCCUACAGCUACCGAGUAAAAA